GGAGAAAAUGUGUCAACAGUUGUCUCUCCCAUCUGUCUAUGGGGGAUAAUCUAAUCCUGUGUGGGGUCAUGUGAAAAGGUCACAAACCGAUGACUUGAGGUGAUGGACCAACCGGAAAGGUCACUCAAAUGUUGGGGGGUUGCAGAAUAAACAGAGCCGUCAGGGAUCUCCACUUCCUCUUUAGUGGCAAACAGAUGGACUCUGGAAUGUGUACGUCUCGGCGAUGUGUAUAAGAACGAGACGAGCCGAUGAGAAGGGCAGCAUUAAGUCCGAGUCUCCUACAAAGGAGAGUGACAGACUUUGCUCCGCUCAGCUGGGUGUUUCCAUGACUUGUUUGAUGUGAUAUACUUAUAUGUUCCAUGACUUAUUUGUCUAGUUGAAUCACUUGUCCACUUGUUUGUACCUGGCUCACAUUCUGAUCAUUUGUGAACUUGUUACUAUAUAAUAAAGUGUGAUAAGACCACCGUGCUUAGAAUACUCUUGAUUUCUCACAAGGCAGGUGGAACAUUUAUUCCACCACAAAUGGCGACGAGGAUUUGGAUGGACGCGCAGCGCUGGACUCCGGCUGAACGGCAGAUGGCCAUAAUAUAGAUGAAUCCUCCCCCGAGGUUGAGAAGCUGCCGUUCAGACGGAGACCAGGACUGCCGAUCCAACCCAGUUGAAGUAACAACGAAAAACACGCGGUGAGAGAUUAGGAUUAUUUUGAGAUCAAUCAAGUCAUGAAAAUGGAAAUUGGAAAUUUUUUAAAGAAAAAUCUCACAAUCAGGUGUUGUUAACAGACGUGUUUUGAAAACUGUUGGGUUCUCUAGUGGUUCGGAUGCGCCAGGUUGGCGCACACUUCUCAGGGAAAACAGUUAGCAGUUUUUAGAGAUAGCAGCGGUCGCUUACUUACCUUAGUCAUCCAUGUGUAUUGUUUGAAAUUUUGUAUAGAAAAUUUAUUGACGCACACUGCGACAUAAUACACGAAUGAUUAGAGAUGUGUAGUGCUCAGAGUAAGAGUGAGACCGUUGAGAGCCAUGUGGUCCCCAUCCUUCCGCCUCUGUGUAGGUUUAUGUCUGAUCGAUAUCCUGGAAGCUUGGAUCAAAUGAAAAAGUGGAUAGAGAGUGGGUUUCCAUCAAACGGAAGUUUGAGUGAAAAUCAAUUAAAACAGUUGGAGGUAUCACUGGGGGAAAUGGAGAGGAACGCAACAGCUCAGCAUGCAGCCUUAUCAAAGAAAAAGCCGACAAAGAAUGUUAACAAGUGUCAUUGCAUUCACCCAAAUACUGUGUAUUCUUGUCUUUCUGAGAUACUGAGAGAAUCGGUGGCUCCAGACCUGGAUUCCGCCCCCCCCUUUUGCUCCGCCAGCCUGCUUGCAGCAGCCGUCUCAGUCAAAUGCAGCUUCAUCGGACACAGUCCAAGAGGGACACAGACUCUGGAACAAUGCAAAGACCAUCUGAAAGAGCGUUUCGUGAGCGGGACGAGACCAAACUCCGGCAGAUGGUGAGAAAAUCAUAUGUUCCACUAACAGAUGUCAUAAAGCACGCUGAACAUGCUAAGGCGGAGUUGCACAGAAAAGAGAUGCUUGCAACGAUACACGCUUGCAAGGCAAAUACGGAAUAUUCCUCCAUGGCAACUUGGGAGGACAAGAGGUCGAGGCAGAGGCAGAAUGGAUCUGACCUUGGAAAGAUAUGAUUCAAGUGUGUGCUACAACUGCGGAGGGCAUGGACACUGGCGAACAGAGUGUCCGGAGCCCAAAAAGGAAGACCCGCUUUCGACACGGCUGAGCGGAGGGAGGCGGGGGAGGGGCGGAUCCCAGAGACGGACAACCCUCUCCAGGACAAACAAGUAAGGCACACUACACAAAAGGGAAACAAAAGAAGCAAACUUUAACAUUGAUUUUCUAACCAUCUUUAAAGAUGUUUUGACUCAGAAGCUAAAAUCUCAUUUGUAAAAUUGAAAUUCCCAUUAUUUUAGGCUAUAAGAAAUAGCUCAAAACCACUCUGUAGCGAAAAGAGUGAAAAACUAAUAUUAGACCAUGGAGCUUCAGUUGCUCAUGAUCUUUUCACAUUGCACACAGUACUGCAGCAGGAAAUUAUAUGCAGCCAUUACAUUGUACAUCCCAUGUGAGCGUAGGGCCAGACAGAAUAUACGAGGAAGCAUGGUAUGAUCAACAGGUAGAAGCAGAGAGUUUAGACCUGAAGCAUGUUUACUGGUCAGAGAAGGCUGCUGCGGUGUCUGUGUCUCUCUCUCCAUCCCAGGGGAAACUGUUCCUUGGAACCACUCCUCACGUAUCAUUGGCUAAACCGUCACACUGGAAAAGGCAGGAUCUGGGUCCGUGGCUACAACAACGUAUCAACCUCUUGGACUUUAGACCGGGUGCAGAAGACUCGAGGAUCGAAACUAGCGCUAUUGCACUUCACACACAGGUAAAAGCUGCACUUCCCUCACCAGCCACUGCGGUCCAGCAUCACCUGAAACCAGGAGACUGGGUGCUCAUCAAGGAUCAAGGAGGAAGCACGGGAAGCAGAGACACUACGCGGGUCCCUUCCAAGUACCCCGACAACGGAGACGGUGGUGAGAGUGGAAGGAGAACAACGUAGGUCUACGCCAGCCACUGCAAACGCAUCCCAGAUCCAGAAGGAGAAGGAGCAGCUGCGACGGGUCCGGACUAAAGGGGAAGGGUGAGAAAAGCGAGCGCCUUCCUCCAGCAAGUAGUGUGCCAAGCUACCAACAAGCGCACCAUUAGCAGUGACGUAACCAAGCACCUCACUCAUUUUAUGUGGCUGGGAAGAGAGAGGAGGGGAUUGCCAUAGUUUCUCAAACCGCAAAGCUGUCAUAUAUAAAUCAGUGUGGUAGGAGGCGAAAUCAUGUGCGAAGGUGUAGCCACCCAAGAAGCAGCAGCGAUGGAAGAAAGAUCUUCAGCAUCAGGACACUCCUUUGAGGAGCACGGGUGCAGCCAGAGCAAAAGCAUGCACUCACUGCUUUCUCUGAACACGACAGCAAGCCCGGUUCAUCUCACGAAGAAGUGGCAGGAAUUGCCCAACAGGACGAUGUGUUCCCUCUCCUCGUCAGAUUGAUGGAUAUGUUAAUAUAGACGAACAACUUCAUCAAAUAAUAUGUGAGUGGUGUUAAGUGGCCUACCUGUAGGUCAGUAAAGCACAGCCAAAACCAGCACCUAUUGGAUACAUGUACUUUUAAGCCAACACAGGGUCUAUUCGAUUAGAAAAUAGGUAUACAGAGCAUACCUUGAGUAAAUAAAUUCAAAGUCAAGCAUU